UACGUAGGGCGCAAGCGUUGUCCGGAAUUAUUGGGCGUAAAGCGCGCGCAGGCGGCUUUGUAAGUUUGGUGUUUAAUCUCAGAGCUCAACUCUGAUUCGCAUCGAAAACUGCAAGGCUUGAGUGCAGAAGAGGAAAGUGGAAUUCCACGUGUAGCGGUGAAAUGCGUAGAGAUGUGGAGGAACACCAGUGGCGAAGGCGACUUUCUGGGCUGUAACUGACGCUGAGGCGCGAAAGCGUGGGGAGCGAACAGG
rnacentral:rRNA from 1 species